rnacentral:tRNA from 1 species
UCCCUGAUGGUCUAGUGGCUAGGAUUCGGGGGCUCCUUUAGCCCGCGCGGCCCGGUUCGAUUCCCGGUCAGGGAA